CUUUGUGCUUUGAGUGGGGUCAGAUCCGGGUCCGGUGCUGCACCGGGUCGUCUCGGUACCGGUACGGUAAUAGGUACUUGCAGACCCUUGCGACUCUCUCCUCUCCUCUCCUCUCCUCUCCUCUCUACUCCUCACCUCCUCGCUCCGUUCCGUUCCUCCGGCGCUGUAUCCGGCGGCCACUCUUGGUCCACUCCACCUCUUCCGAGCGUCCUGUGCGUUUGGCAGGCGGCCAACCGAAGCGCGGGGAAGCGACACCGCCAGGGCGGCAGAAAAUUUUCCCCUCCGUUUCGGGCUCCUUCCCCAGCGGCAGGCGGGCGGACAUUGGCUGGAAAGUGGAGCAGCUCGUCAGGGACGAUCAAUGAACAUCGAUCCACGCUGGCCGCGCCGAGGAGGCUUUGGCUACUAAAAAAAAGAGAAAGAAAUAAAGCAAUGUGCUGCAUGAGGAUUUCUUUUUCUUUUUUUUUCACUCCUUAAUUGCAAAAGAAGUGAGCAAGCCAGAGGAGACGGUGGCAAGGAAAAACCCCCUGAGACGAUAUGAGGAAGAAACAUUGAGAGGAAUGUGACUCAAAAGGGAACCCGUCCUCAUCUGGGUGACACCAGAUUAUAAUUAUGCAAUUAUAGAUAAUUACUCUUAUAGAACUGUGUGCUACAUGGCCAGAAUGUUGUGUAACCAGGAAAUUCAUUAUAGUUUUAACAUGAAGUCUAUUUAUUCUUCUUCUUUCGUUGAAGUUAUCAACUGUUCACUCAUGGAGACUUGAGUGCAAAACUCUGUGGGGCAAUUGCAAUCCUAAAGCUAUCAAAGAAAGUCCCAAGCCAUUGCAGCAAAACUUUGUAUGCUACUGUCUUAUAUGAUGUGGAAAUGAUAAUAUCCAUAAUGCUACCAUUAUUAUGUAGCCAUCUUGUGGAGGUCUUUAGGUCAGCUAAUGGCUCGUUGCUUUGUUGUCCGUUGCAUAAAGUACAUACCAUUGACAAUGGUGAACAUAUUUUUGAGUUGUUUUGAACUUAAGCUAGGUUAUUCAGUGCAAUGAGCUACACAUUAACUCACACUAGCUGCUGACACACUCCACUGACUGUUGGUCACUACCAAUUUUUUUAUUUUGAUAUCUUGAAAAUGUGAUGAAACAAAAACGAAAUGGACAUGUAUUUCCUUAACGAGUUAUUUUUUAAGCUGAUGUUACAAUCCGCUGAUGAACUGCGCUUUGUUUUCUUAGUAAACAAAACUCACAAAUAAGAGCGUUCCAUCGAGGCAAUCGAUUAAGAUCAGUCAGUCAUUAGAAAGUAAAGAAAUGAAUGAAAUUCUCAAAAAUAGUCAAAUCUGCCAAACAUGUACAAUUGCAUUGGGGGGAAAAAACAGAACUAAUGGUAACACGUCAGAGACCAGCAGCAGGUUCUACAACAUGAAAGUUACUAAAUGUGACAAAACUAACCAGUGAACAUUACAGUACUUAGACUGGCAGGCUUCAAUCCCACUCCAACACUCAAAGAUCCAUAAUAUAACAAAGAGCACAAGCAUGGUCCCCACUAAUCAAUGGGAAACAGUAAUGUGGUCUUUUCCUCUAUCCGGGUGUGGUUACAUUUGGAGAAACCCAAUGUUUGUCCAACCACAAUGUUAAACGUGGUGUUGCAUCCAUAAUGGUAUAUGCAGCCAUUUUUUAAAGGUCAUUAGGUCGCAUGAUGGCUUGAUGCUUUGUUGUAUGAUGCAUAAGGUACUGUACAUAUCAUUGACACUGGUGCAAAUAUCUUCCAUUAAUAUGCUUCCAAUAUGUUAUAUUUAAUGAUAUAUAUAAGUACAGUUAUAUAUUUAGACCUCCUCCCAAUCAAUUUCAAGAGCGGUUUAAUGAUCUCCUGACAUCAGCCUUUGUCUUCCAGAGACUUCUUUCUUGCUUUUACAACUCAGGACUUCAAGAAUGGCCAAAGCUGUUCUCCUAAAUGUCCCUCAUUUUGCAAUGUUGUUCCCGCUGCUUUCAGGUCGUCCGGCAACUCAUUUUAAGUGACUGCUGGAUCGUAUUGCAAAUGUUACGCUGUUGUAAGAAAAUAAUCAACGUCAAGGUACAGUAAUGCAACAUGACGUGAAGCAUAGUUAAUGCUACCAACCUUAACGUUGAUUACUUUCCUACUGUAUAACAGAACUACUCCUAAGUGUUUUAUUCCUCUUAUACCACAGCAACCUGCGAACAGUUUAUUAAUGAACAGGUUAGGCUUCUCAAAUGUUUACAGUUACAUUUAAUCAGUUCCUUUUCAAUUAAAAAAAAGAAGCAUAAAGUCCCCUGUCCUGAUGGCAGAAAACUUACUCAGUACGUUUACAUGGACAACAAUAAUCCGAUAUUAUCCUGAUUAAGACGAUACUCUGAUUAAGAAACUAGCAUGUAAACAGCGAUUAUUGAGGACCUUAAUCCGAUUAAGGUCAUACUCGAAGUGAACACAAAUCGAAUUAAGACAUGUGGAGUAUUCCUGUUUUAGUCGCAUUAUCGACGUGUAUUACAGACAUGUAAACACCUUAAUCACAUUAUUAACAUCGUGUGAGAGUUUUCUCCGCAUUUUGUGACAGGACACGUACACACACGGCAGUGCUCAACCGUUUUAUGGCAAACAAGAGAGCACGGCCGCGUCCCAAACUGCGUACUUACCUACUAUAUAGUAGGUGAAAUACACGUAUUUCGGCUACUAUACAGACGGUAAGUACGCGGUUUGGGACGCAGCCCACGGCCUCAAGAAGUCGUCUAUUUGCACUUACAGUAUGACAAAUAAUUAACUGCACUUGACGCGUUCGUAAAAAUUAAAAAUGAAACACCCAAAUUUGUAUACGGUAUUAUAACGAAGACCAGCUGUAUGUUGAUACGUGAAACUCUGGAGGGAACGUCGGACGGCGUGACAUGGUGACAUAAUGACGUGAUUAAUCAAUGUAUGUUCUAUAACAUGUAACACGGAAACAUGAAAGGAAUAUUCUAAAAGCGACUCGUGUAAACACCUUAAUCACAAUAUUGUCUUAUUCAGAAUUAGGUCAAUAAUUAGAUUACUGCUGUCCAUGUAAACAGUCACUGACUGUUUGUUUUUCUUUGUUAAACGACAAAACAUUUUAAUCUGUUUUCUGUGAUCCAUGUCUCUGUAAACGGGUUGUUGCUAUAGAAAUGAUAAAACUGUUAGAACUUUCAUAUAUUACUAUAUUUAUAUUUGAAUUACAGCCGACACUGCUGUCAGAGCUUUUGUUAUAGAACAUUAAAAACACCCUCUGAUCAAACAGAUUUGAGAAUUCAACAGUGACAUGGUAUAAAUAAGAAUAUUACACCGGAAAGUUAAUUCAGGUUAAUAACUACACACAUUAUUCACAUUCACAUUUCAAUCCAGAGCGACUUUGAGUCAAUCCCAGAGCUGAGCAGCUAAGAGUUAAGGGGUUUGCUCAAGAGUCCAAUGGUGACAGCAUGUCCUGGCAAUCUUAACUGCUAAGCUACCACUUCCUGUUCACAGAGAAACAGAUUUCAAACAUCUUUAUCUGUAAGCACUUUGGUCCAACAUGAGUCUCUUCGUUUAACCUUAAAAGAGUACUCCAUUAUUUUUCCAAUUAAU
ensembl:lncRNA